UAAGGGCGCACGGUGGAUGCCUUGGCACUAGAAGCCGAUGAAGGACGUUACUAACGACGAUAUGCUUUGGGGAGCUGUAAGUAAGCUUUGAUCCAGAGAUUUCCGAAUGGGGAAACCCAGCAUGAGUUAUGUCAUGUUAUCGAUAUGUGAAUACAUAGCAUAUCAGAAGGCACACCCGGAGAACUGAAACAUCUUAGUACCCGGAGGAAGAGAAAGAAAAUUCGAUUCCCUUAGUAGCGGCGAGCGAAACGGGAAGAGCCCAAACCAACAAGCUUGCUUGUUGGGGUUGUAGGACACUCUAUACGGAGUUACAAAGGACGACAUUAGACGAAUCAUCUGGAAAGAUGAAUCAAAGAAGGUAAUAAUCCUGUAGUCGAAAAUGUUGUCUCUCUUGAGUGGAUCCUGAGUACGACGGAGCACGUGAAAUUCCGUCGGAAUCUGGGAGGACCAUCUCCUAAGGCUAAAUACUCUCUAGUGACCGAUAGUGAACCAGUACCGUGAGGGAAAGGUGAAAAGCACCCCGGAAGGGGAGUGAAAUAGAACCUGAAACCGUGUGCUUACAAGUAGUCAGAGCCCGUUAAUGGGUGAUGGCGUGCCUUUUGUAGAAUGAACCGGCGAGUUACGAUUUGAUGCAAGGUUAAGCAGUAAAUGUGGAGCCGUAGCGAAAGCGAGUCUGAAUAGGGCGUUUAGUAUUUGGUCGUAGACCCGAAACCAGGUGAUCUACCCUUGGUCAGGUUGAAGUUCAGGUAACACUGAAUGGAGGACCGAACCGACUUACGUUGAAAAGUGAGCGGAUGAACUGAGGGUAGCGGAGAAAUUCCAAUCGAACCUGGAGAUAGCUGGUUCUCUCCGAAAUAGCUUUAGGGCUAGCCUCAAGUGAUGAUUAUUGGAGGUAGAGCACUGUUUGGACGAGGGG
rnacentral:rRNA from 1 species